UUGUGAUGUGGCAUAAAUUCUCCGGGGUGCUGUCUCAGCUUGCUUCUCCCUGCCUGUGUUUCCCAGCAGGGUCAGGACCUCCCCUGUAACACUUCUGUCCUCUGCACUAAAGUCUGUCCCCUUGGAAGAAGAUGGAGAUGACAGUGGGACAGCCUUAGGUGCUCCCAGGGACCAUCCCCCAGUUGACCAGUCAUGUGGGUCAACAGGACUCAUUUCUGGUUUUGUUUUGUUUUUUUUUUAAUGUUUAUUUAUUUAUUUUGAGAGCAUGAGUGGGGAAGGGGCAGAAAGAGAUGAACAGAGAGAAUCCCAAGCAGGCUCUGUACUGUCAGCACAGAGCCCCGUGCAGGGCCUGAACUCACCAACUGUGAGCCAAAACCAGGAGUCGGACACUUAACCGACUGAACCACCCAGGCACUCCAAGAGGACUCAUUUCUAACUCGAGGUUGGAGACAUACUCCUAUUUCCUGCUUAUUGCUUGACCGAUGGAUUUUAUCUUUGGGGAAAAAAAGGCUGGACUUCAGGCUACAUUCAAAGACAUGUGUUGGCCUCUGAGUCAGGUCCAAAGGGACUGUGACAAAAAGUGCUAUGCUGUCAUCUAGGACAGUGUUUUCACAACUUUUGUGAUUGUUCCCCAACAAGGAAUACAUUUGGCAUGAAAACCUUGUAUGCACAUACAGGUAUAUAAUGAGCAUACAUACGUGCACACAUAAAAUGCCUGAGUGUAUAAGCACACAUGCAUAGGCAGCCACUGCUCAGAGAACAGAAGCUUGAGUCUCUCUCUAGGACAACAGAUGUGAAACACUAUUUACAGAAACACUACACUACUUACACUAUUUACAGAACCCACCAGCUCUCUGGAAAUAACAUUAACUGAACGUCUAGAAGCAAAGGCAGCGGGAAUGAUAGGAGGCUCGGCCGGCAACUCUGAAAGGUGCCAGAUGUGGACGGCAAGCUUCAGCCUGAUUGUUGACUGUGGGCUCAAACCUUCUUGUUCUCAAAGGUCAGCACAGCAAUCGAUGGGCUCUGGUCUUCCCUCCCACGCACUUACUUUUGAAAAAACAGACCAGACAUGAAGGGUCAUUCCAACGAGGGCUGGCUUUCGGUUUUCUGGACCUAUCAGGGCCUAUCAGGAUCAACUGGGACGCAACCGAGCAGCGGUGACUAAGAGCUGGGAGUUGAGGUGAUGCGGGACCUGCCUUUCAAUCCGGCUGCCUACGUAAGCUGAGGAGAACGGGUGAGCAUGAUCACUGCUUCUGGUUGUGCAGACUGAGCUGUGCUCCAGGUGUCCAGACAAGGAGAUGACAUGGAAAGGCCGGAGAGCAUCUGUGUAGCUGCAGACCUCUGGUUCAAGAUGCCAGUGGCUUCUACCUCGCACUGGGAGAGGCACACUUAGUUCAGAGGUAGCCAAGCUUUCUACAUGUCAAUUUUAUUUAAAAAAAAUUUUUUUAACGUUUAUUUUUGAGACAGAGAGAGACAGAGCAUGAAC